UCUAAUGUGGCAGAGUAAAUGUAAUGAAUUUAAAAUUCAUUCAUAAAUAUUUAUAUUUCUUUAGAA
rnacentral:tRNA from 1 species